rnacentral:rRNA from 1 species
CCCUUAGAUGUUCUGGGCUGCACGCGCGCUACACUGAAGCUAUCAACACGUUUUCCCUCCCUGAGAAGGGCGGGUAAUCUUUUGAAUCAGCUUCGUGGUAGGGAUCGGGGCUUGCAAUUGUUCCCCGUGAACCAGGAAUUCCUAGUAGACGCGAGUCAUAAGCUCGCAUCGAUUAAGUCCCUGCCCUUUGUACACACCGCCCGUCGCUACUACCGAUUGAACGUUUUAGUGAGGCAUUUGGACCGACGCAUCUCAGUUUAACCGCUGGUUUGUGUUGGAAAGACUUCCAAACUUGAGCGUUUAGAGGAAGUAAAAGUCGUAACA